rnacentral:rRNA from 1 species
UACGGCGAGUGAGCGGUAAAAGCUCAAAUUUGAAAUCUGGUACUUUCAGUGCCCGAGUUGUAAUUUGUAGAAUUUGUCUUUGAUUAGGUCCUUGUCUAUGUUCCUUGGAACAGGACGUCAUAGAGGGUGAGAAUCCCGUUUGGCGAGGAUACCUUUUCUCUGUAAGACUUUUUCGAAGAGUCGAGUUGUUUGGGAAUGCAGCUCAAAGUGGGUGGUAAAUUCCAUCUAAAGCUAAAUAUUGGCGAGAGACCGAUAGCGAACAAGUACAGUGAUGGAAAGAUGAAAAGAACUUUGAAAAGAGAGUGAAAAAGUACGUGAAAUUGUUGAAAGGGAAGGGCAUUUGAUCAGACAUGGUGUUUUUUGCAUGCACUCGCCUCUCGUGGGCUUGGGCCUCUCAAAAAUUUCACUGGGCCAACAUCAAUUCUGGCAGCAGGAUAAAUCAUUAAGAAUGUAGCUACUUCGGUAGUGUUAUAGCUUUUUGGAAUACUGUUAGCCGGGAUUGAGGACUGCGCUUCGGCAAGGAUGUUGGCAUAAUGGUUAAAUGCCGCCCGUCUUG